UUACUCCAAUGAUGUUAGCACUGGGCACAGAUAGCAGUGACGACGAUCGUGCCCCUCCAUGCUUUCUCUGUCAUGGGGGGACUGAGGAGUAC
rnacentral:snoRNA from 1 species